rnacentral:lncRNA from 1 species
CUUCAGUCUGUGCUCUGCUCUGAGACCUGGGAAGGAGGCUGAGAGUUGGAGAACUUGAAGAACUCAAGAGUCUACCUUAGUUGACUCAGAGGUGAGCCAGCUUCGAGAUGUCAUGUUAAUGCGGCUAUGCUGGUCACCCUCCAAGAAGGCCUAGAAUCUCCACCUAAGGGCACUGCAGGCCCAGGGUUUGCAAUGGACCCUCCAUCCCUCAUCCUGGACUGUGACAGAGACAUGCCUGCAAGUCGCUUCCCAACCUGCCCAUUUCUGACCUAACGCAAGCUGUUGAACGGCAAGGGUGGCUGCUGAGUUUUCAGAAUUGUGCUAGAGGCCCUGGUAAGAGAAUCUGUGACCCUGAGGAAGUUUUCAUGGGCUCCCUGGAGAAAGGGGCACUUCUAAUGAUUCCUCAGGUCGACUCAGCAUUGGGUGGGUCACCAGCCUUGGAAUUCAAUCCCUGAAUAUAAUUUGUUUGACUAACAAAAAUUUCUAAAAUGUGUCCAAGUGUUCCAAAAAUAGAAGAAUGUCAACUCAGAUAAAACACCAAAUAAAGAAAGUGCUCCAUGUUAGCUGAACUUCAUGUACUCCUGGAUUUGUAUUGGAUUGAGAUGGAUAAAGUCAAUGAGAUGGUUUGUUUCUGUGGAGGUGGAAUUCAACAUGGUUUUCGGUCUUCAGUGUUACAUAAAAGCUGUGGGAGCAGAGUCCAGGAAAUUGCCCUGUGCUUCCCUCUAUAAGAGCACUUAACUGUUGGAAUUGCAUGUCUCUGUUUAGGAUCAGAUGUGAGCAUUCCGGAGAAGAGGCCCUGUCUCACUCAGCUUGGCAUUCCUAGGGCACCGCCUGGCACCCACUCAAACACAGUGCACGUUGAGGUCAUUAAUUAAAGGAUGACUAAUCUAUCAGGUGGCUGCUGCACUUGGGCGCUGAUUAAGACUGUGCUUGAGACCUUUCUGAGUCUUCUUUUGUAGGAGUCCAUUAUGAGAGGAAGGCUGACAUCAGGAUCUGCCCACCCAAAGCCCCACACCCCUACAAAACUUCAGUCGGUUUUUGAGAAGGGCUGACUACCUCUCAC